GAGACUAUCCACUGUCAGAGCCCUGCGGUCGGCCCUUCCUGAAGAAAGGAGCCUGCUCCCGGCCCUUUCCCCAGCGGGCGCUGUUCUCUCCCUGACGCUUCGUGGAGCCAGAGAAGGAAAGGUUUGGAGGCACACCCCAUCGAGGGGAGGAAGAGGAGCCUGGCCCCGAAAAAGCCGGCGACAGAGGGGGUGAGAUCCCACUGGGAUCCCGAGGACGGGCGGCAGGAGGUCAAGAUUUAAAAACUUUCACAGUGCUCAGAGUGCUUUCAACAUUCUCACAAGCAAGGACUGAAAGUGGAAUCAAGAAGGCCCCCAGAUUUAGAGUUAUACCUCCUUCCUCUGACAAGCAGGCCUUGCAGACUUGGACAACAAAAGGGAGUGGCAGGUCUGCCCAGUGCAGGGCACUAAGAAAAAGGCACAGACAUCCCUCCAGGCCCACAAGAUGCCAUGUCAUCUUUGCUGCUUUGCCAGGAUGAAGACAACUUUUUAAGUUUGGAAAUCAUCACUCCCUCUUCGGAGCAACUGCAGAGCCUGUCUCCACCACUAGGUGCCGCCAUCAGUCAGCUUCCUCCCUGAGAACUGGAAACUUCAAGCAAAGCUAAUUCAUUCCUUUUUAUUUUUGCCUGAGGUUGAUUGGUUGGCACUAUAUUACUUGACUCAUGUUUUCAGCCUGGCUUUUUGCUGGUUAUUUUGGACUUUUCUUUCUGGACUGGCUUCAAAAUGUGUUCCUCUGGAUCUCAGCCUUUAUAUUAGAAGUGACACAGGGCACAAGCACACAAUUCCAAAGUUGGCCACAGAUGUCACACCAAAAAUUUUGCCCUAUACACUCAGACCCUGCAAUUCUAUGUCAAGAGUUCCAUCUUAGGGC